rnacentral:rRNA from 1 species
GAUGAACGCUGGCGGCGUGCUUAACACAUGCAAGUCGAGCGAUGAAGUUUCCUUCGGGAAACGGAUUAGCGGCGGACGGGUGAGUAACACGUGGGUAACCUGCCUCAUAGAGUGGAAUAGCCUUCCGAAAGGAAGAUUAAUACCGCAUAACGUUGAAGGAUGGCAUCAUCAUUCAACCAAAGGAGCAAUCCGCUAUGAGAUGGACCCGCGGCGCAUUAGCUAGUUGGUGGGGUAACGGCCUACCAAGGCGACGAUGCGUAGCCGACCUGAGAGGGUGAUCGGCCACAUUGGGACUGAGACACGGCCCAGACUCCUACGGGAGGCAGCAGUGGGGAAUAUUGCACAAUGGGGGAAACCCUGAUGCAGCAACGCCGCGUGAGUGAUGAAGGUUUUCGGAUCGUAAAGCUCUGUCUUUGGGGAAGAUAAUGACGGUACCCAAGGAGGAAGCCACGACUAACUACGUGCCAGCCGCCGCAGUAAGAC